rnacentral:rRNA from 1 species
UACGUAGGGGCAAGCGUUGUCCGGAAUCAUUGGGCGUAAAGAGCGUGUAGGCGGCCAGAAAAGUCCGCUGUGAAAGUCAAGGGCUCAACCCUUGGAUGCCGGUGGAUACUGCAGGGCUAGAGUCCGGAAGAGGCGAGUGGAAUUCCUGGUGUAGCGGUGAAAUGCGCAGAUAUCAGGUGGAACACCGAUGGCGAAGGCAGCUCGCUGGGACGGUACUGACGCUGAGGCGCGAAAGCGUGGGGAGCAAACAGG